GUGAGGAAUAUUGGUCAAUGGGCGAGAGCCUGAACCAGCCAAAUCGCGUGAAGGAAGACUGCCUUAUGGGUUGUAAACUUCUUUUAUACAGGAAUAAAAAAGGGGACGUGUCCCUUAUUGCAUGUACUGUAUGAAUAAGCAUCGGCUAACUCCGUGCCAGCAGCCGCGGUAAUACGGAGGAUGCGAGCGUUAUCCGGAUUUAUUGGGUUUAAAGGGUGCGCAGGCGGGCUUUUAAGUCAGCGGUGAAAUCUCGGGGCUUAACUCCGAAACUGCCGUUGAAACUGGGAGUCUUGAGUAUGGAUGAAGUAGGCGGAAUUCGUUGUGUAGCGGUGACAUGCUUAGAUAUAACGAGGAACUCCGAUUGCGUAGGCAGCUUACUAAGCCAUAACUGACGCUCAAGCACGAAAGCGUGGGGAUCAAACAGGAUUAGAAACCCCGGUAGUCC
rnacentral:rRNA from 1 species